GGUGAAUGAAUAAACCUAAAGAAAAAAAGAGAAAAGAAAAGUAGCAACAUAAAUGGAAGAAGCCUGAAUUGCCCUAAGAGCAGAACAUUACUAUGGAUUUGAAGCUGAAAUAGAUCUGCAUUCAAAUAUUGGUGCUCUGACCCUGCUCAUGUAUGGCAGGUGGAUGUUGCCUUUAACCAGGACUAGCUCUGACAAUGAAGAAAAGGAAAGUAAAGAAAAGUGACACCUUAAAUGGAUAUAACAAAGAGUUAUUACAGUGGCUGAGCAUUGUAUCCACCUGGGCAAGAAAGGACAACAGUGGACAUACAGGU